UGCAGGAAGACGGCCCUAUGGGUUGUAAACUGCAGUAGCGUGCGGGAUGAAGGCCCUCCGGGUCGUAAACCGCUUUUAGACGGGGAUAAAAGGGCGUACGUGUACGCCGUAUUGCAUGUACCGUCAGAAAAAGGGACCGGCUAAUUCCGUGCCAGCAGCCGCGGUAAUACGGAAGGUCCGGGCGUUAUCCGGAUUUAUUGGGUUUAAAGGGAGCGUAGGCGGACUUUCAAGUCAGUGGUAAAAUCGUGUGGCUCAACCAUACCUCGCCAUUGAAACUGGAAGUCUGGAGUGCACACAGGGGUGCCGGAAUUCACGGUGUAGCGGUGAAAUGCUUAGAUAUCAUGAAGAACUCCGAUCGCGAAGGCAAGUGCCCGGGGUGCAACUGACGCUGAGGCUCGAAGGUGCGGGGGUAUCGAACAGGAUUAGAUACC
rnacentral:rRNA from 1 species